UCCAUUUAUCUCUAUCCUAUCAAAUCAAAAGGAAGAAAGAGAAAAGAAUGAAGUAGAAGAGACCUUGAUGGAGCUAGGAGGAAUUAUGUUAAGUGAGAUAAGUCAAAAAGACAAAGAUGAGUAUGGGAUGAUCCUACUCAAACAGAAGUUGAGAAAGAACAACAGAAAGGAAAACUCAACGCAGAAUUUGACUGAGUUUGGAGUAUUGCACCAAAGUGAAAAUCUCUCAGUGGAAGCCACCAAGUUCCAGAUGCUACCAUGACACCAACCUGUCUUCCCGGGGAAGAUGACCCCACCAAUGUGUCCUGGGACCCCACCUCUCCAGAGCAAUGCCCCACUAGGUGAAGAUAGACAUAGGCUGGGAGUAUGGAUCAACCUGCCUACACCCAUGUUCAGAGGAGAAGCAAUUAAAGAAGCCAGACCUUCCACAUUCUGCACUCCAUAAUGAUUCUGGGUACAUGUUCCCAGAGGGAUAAUAAUAGGAAAGCUUUCAAGGGAAGAGAAGGGAUACGGAGCUCUGGUGGUGGGAAUUACAUGGAAUUGUACUGCUUUUGUUCUAUGGUCUUGUCAAUAUUUCUAGUUUAUAAAUAAAUUUAUUAUAAAGUAAUGAAUCUAGGAAGUAUGAUAUAUGGAUACUUUUCCAGAAAAAAAGUCCAGGUAGGAUAAAUUUUAUUAAGAAAAACAAAACAAACAAAAAAACCAUGACCCCAUCCAAACAAACAAAAAAACCCAGGAGGU